AGCCCGCGCCGGGCCUUCCCUCCCAGCGCUCCCCGCAGCUGUUGCAGGACCUGAGCCCAGCGGCCGAGCACCUGCGCUGCUCCCUGCCGCGCCUGCAGAGCCCGCAGAGGCCCCUGCGAGAGGCGGCCUUCAGCAUCAUCGGGGUGGCCGGAGCUCAUGACGGGGCAGAAGGAGGAGCUCCAGGUCCUCGCUGAGGUUCCUGAAGCCGUCAGGGAAGAUCAGAGCCCAUCCUGCAGGAGCACACUGAUCCAGGUUGCAUUGGGAAGAAGAUCUGAGCGACUUUCUCUGCUGGAUCAGAUAGACCGGAGUCCUUCGGCCAUUUCCAGCUCCCAUUGGAGAUGGGUGCACCUGCACAGCAGAAGGAACCAGCUGGAGCUCCAGGCACAGCUCUAACUGCUCACAGCUGAGCCUGUGGAAAGCUCCAGGAGCUCCUGCCAGCUCUCUCCCUGUUGGCAUCUCCCUCCCUGCAGCCCUCAGGCCCUGCCCAUCCCCCUUUUUACCUGCCAGCUCACCCCUUCCCUUCGUUUUACCUGAAUAAACUGUUUGGCUUUGCACGUUACCCGCGUCUCCGUGGAGCUGAAGCGGCGCAAAACCUGAGCCUGGGGAAACGUGGGGCCCUGCUGCC